GAGGUGGGGCCCGCGGCGCCGUUGUGGAGGCUGGGGAUGCUGGAUACGCAUGCGUAAAUUUCUGCUUUUGGAGAGUAGGCUCAUUCACAUACAAAGUCUCGACUAGAAUGGAUAUGUACACCAGUAGAUGUCUUGUAUUUGGAUUUCCAGAACGCAUUUGACAAGGAACCUCAUAAAAGGUUAAGUAUGAGAUAAGCGCCCACGGUAUUGGAGAAGAAUCACUGGAUGCCACUGAAUGACCAAAGAACUGUUCUUCCCAUAAUGAGCUUACUGGAGUAACAGAGCACAUGACCUUUUAUCAUCUGUAACCCUUCCAGAUUCUGCAUUCAACUAUCAGCCUAGAAGAUGUUCAAGAUCCAUUCUGGGAACUAUCCGACUGCUCAUGAAACUUAAAGCUUCAUACAAUCUACCAAUGACUUCGUAUUAUGUUGUACAAUGCAGGUUCAUUAACACUCCAUUGUCUCAAAUCUGCUCCUGAGGAAGGAAGCAAGUGUAUAGAAACAAGAGCCCCAAUGGGUUGUCCAUUAAAA